UCCCGCAGGGGGAGCGGCAGCCAGGGCGGCGCCUGGCGGCGGAAUCGGGAGACAGCAGCGCGCGGCGGAGAGCAAGCCUAAGCCGGACGGUGACGCAGAGCCCGCAGGCGCUGAUGCUGGAGGCGCCAGUGGACGGGGGGAGGCGCGACUCUAAAGGCUGCCCGGGACACCCCCGCACCCCGUGGUAGGAACCGGGACCCAAACAAAGGCGGGCAGCAGAUAAAAGGCGGCGGCGGCGGCGGCGGCGGCGGCGGCGGCGAGUGCUUCGCGUGCGCGCUGGGGACGUAGUUGUCACGGACCUGGCGGCGGUCUGCUCGCCAGCGAGCGGAGCUUGGGGGCCGCUGGCCUCCUACAGCUCUGAGGACCUUUCCUCCUGAAAUUACCCUCAAGGGACAAGUGUUCGCCGCGGGGUGGCCGAAGCCCCUUAACCCCUGCGGCACCCGUGUAUCAGCCUAGCUCGGCUCAGCCAGCGAGGGUAUGGACUCAGAGGAUGAUCCCCUGCUGCAGGAUGUGUGGCUAGAAGAGGAACAGCCGGAAGAUGAAGCCUGCAGGGGUAUCCCCGGGCCAGGGCUGCAGUCCGGAGCACAGGGCUGCUGGCGACGCUGGACACUGCCUUCCAGACCCCCGACUUUGGGGUUCUGGAGCACUCUGGGCUGGGCCUUCACCAACCCGUGCUGCGCAGGGCUGGUGCUGUUCCUUGGCUGCAGCAUCCCCAUGGUGCUGUCUGCCUUCAUGUUCCUCUACUACCCGCCCCUGGACAUCGACAUCUCCUACAACGCCUUUGAGAUCCGCAACCACGAGGCAUCACAGCGCUUUGACGCCCUGGCCUUGGCCCUCAAGUCCCAGUUUGGAUCUUGGGGGCGCAACAGGCGCGACCUGGCGGACUUCACCUCCGAGACGUUGCAGCGCCUCAUCUCAGAGCAGCUUCAGCAGCUGCACCUGGGGAAUCAUUCUCGACCUGCAUCCCGAGCUCCUCGCUCAGCACCGAGGGACACUGUUGCCACUCAGACAUCAGCAGCCAAUUCGAGUGAGCGACGUCGCCGGGAGGCUCCGUCCCCGGAGGGUCAGGUAACCAAUCAGAGCCGGGCCCGUCGGGGCGCCUCGCGCUGGGAUUACUCGCGCACCUAUGUGAGCGCCAACACCCAAACACACGCGCAUUGGCGAAUCGAGCUCAUCUUUCUGGCUCGCGGAGACGCGGAGCGCAACAUUUUCACGAGCGAGCGUCUAGUCACGAUCCACGAGAUCGAGCGUAAAAUCAUGGACCACCCGGGUUUCCGGGAGUUCUGCUGGAAGCCCCAUGAGGUGCUCAAGGACCUGCCGCUCGGAUCCUAUUCCUACUGCUCCCCGCCUAGUUCUCUCAUGACUUACUUUUUCCCCACCGAGAGGGGCGGCAAGAUCUACUACGACGGCAUGGGCCAGGACCUGGCGGAUAUCCGGGGCUCCCUAGAACUGGCCAUGACUCACCCUGAGUUCUACUGGUAUGUGGAUGAGGGGCUCUCCGUGGAUAAUCUGAAGAGCUCCCUCCUGCGCAGUGAGAUCCUGUUUGGAGCGCCGCUUCCCAACUACUACUCAGUGGAUGAUCGCUGGGAGGAGCAGAGAGCCAAGUUUCAGAGCUUCGUAGUCACGUAUGUGGCCAUGCUCGCCAAGCAGUCCACUAGCAAAGUCCAGGUCCUCUAUGGGGGGACAGACCUCUUCGACUAUGAGGUACGCCGAACCUUCAAUAACGACAUGCUCCUUGCCUUCAUUAGCAGUAGCUGCAUCGCGGCCCUCGUCUACAUCCUAACCUCCUGCUCAGUGUUCCUGUCCUUCUUUGGGAUCGCCAGCAUCGGUCUCAGCUGCCUGGUGGCACUCUUUCUCUACCACGUGGUCUUUGGCAUCCAGUACUUGGGCAUCCUCAAUGGAGUGGCCGCCUUUGUGAUUGUGGGCAUUGGUGUGGACGAUGUCUUUGUAUUCAUCAACACUUACCGCCAGGCCACCCACCUGGAAGACCCCCAACUGCGGAUGAUCCACACCAUCCAGACUGCAGGCAAAGCCACCUUCUUCACCUCGCUGACCACCGCCGCCGCUUAUGCGGCCAACGUCUUCUCCCAGAUCCCAGCUGUGCAUGACUUCGGCUUGUUCAUGUCCCUCAUUGUGACCUGCUGCUGGCUGGCUGUGCUGUUCACCAUGCCUGCGGCCCUGGGCCUCUGGAGCCUCUACAUGGCGCCCCUGGAGAGCUCCUGCCAGAACAGCUGCCACCAGAAGUGCGGCCGCAAGAGCUCCUUGCAUUUUCCUGGGGACCUGUUCACGGCUCCGGAGCGGGCUGGGGGUGGCCCUGCUCAGGGUCCCCUCCCCUAUCUGGAUGAUGAUAUCCCCUUGUUGAAUGUGGAGGAUGAGCCAGCGUCCCUAGAGCUGGGAGAUGUGUCACUGGUCUCUGUGCACUGUGAGGGUUUGCAGCCCACCCCUGAUGCAAACAGCAGGGGCCAGCUCCUCGCCCAGCUGCAAGAGCUGCUGCACCACUGGGUCUUAUGGGCAGCCGUCAAGAGCCGCUGGGUGAUCGUAGGGCUUUUCGCCUCCAUCCUUAUCCUGUCCCUGGUGUUCGCCAGCCGGCUCCGCCCUGCCAGCCGGGCCCCACUCCUCUUCCGGCCGGACACCAACAUUCAGGUGCUACUGGACCUCAAGUACAACCUGAGCGCCGAGGGGAUAUCCUGCAUCACCUGCUCAGGUCUGUUCCAGGAGAAGCCCCACAGCCUGCAGAACAAUGUCAGGACAUCCCUGGAGAAGAAGAAGCGAGGUUCUGGGGUUUCCUGGGCCAGCCGCACUGAGACCACUGCACAGGAGUCCAUGAGCACCGUGUACAUCUCCAAAGUGAAGAGCAAAGGCCACCCAGCGGUCUACCGGCUCUCUCUCAAUGCCAGCCUACCAGCACCCUGGCAAGCUGUGUCCCCUGGAGAUGGAGAGGUGCCCUCCUUCCAGGUGUAUAGAGCGCCUUUUGGUGACUUCACCAAGAAGCUGACCGCUUGUAUGUCUACAGUAGGGCUGCUUCAGGCGGCGAGCCCCUCCCGCAAGUGGAUGGUGACGGCCUUGGCCUGUGACGCCCGGAGGGGCUGGAAGUUUGACUUCAGCUUUUACGUGGCCACCAAGGAGCAACAGCACACUCGGAAGCUGUACUUUGCUCAGUCCCACAAGCCCCCCUUCCACGGGCGCCUGUGUGUGGCGCCACCUGGGUGCUUGCUCAGCUCCAGCCCUGAUGGGCCCACCAAAGGCUUCUUCUAUGUGCCUAGUGACAAAGUACCCAAGGCCCGCAUCUCUGCCACCUUUGGCUUCAACCCUUGUGUGAACACGGGCUGUGGGAAGCCUGCGGUGCGUCCGCUGGUGGACACAGGAGCCAUGGUCUUCGUGGUGUUUGGCAUCAUUGGACUCAACCGCACCCAACAGAUGGACAACCACGUUAUCGGGGACCCGCGUCAUCUACGACAGCAGCUUUGACCUCUUCAAAGAGAUCGGGCACCUGUGUCGCCUCUGCAAGGCCAUCGCGGGCAACUCGGAGCUAGUGAAGCCAGGCGGGGCCCAGUGCUUGCCAUCAGGAUACAGCAUCUCUUCCUUCCUGCAGAUGUUGCACCCCGAGUGCAAGGAGCUGCCUGAGCCCAACCUGCUGCCAGGGCAGCUAUCCCACGGGGCAGUGGGUGUCAAAGAGGGCCGUGUGCAGUGGAUCUCCAUGGCCUUUGAGUCGACCACAUACAAGGGCAAGUCCUCCUUCCAGACCUACUCAGACUACUUGCGUUGGGAGAGCUUCCUCCGGCAGCAGCUGCAGACAUUCCCCGAGGGCUCAGCCCUGCACCGAGGCUUCCAGACCUGUGAGCACUGGAAGCAGAUCUUCAUGGAGAUCAUAGGGGUACAGAGUGCCCUGUAUGGCCUGGUCCUCUCUCUACUCAUCUGUGUGGCUGCGGUGGCCGUGUUCACCACCCAUGUCCUCCUGCUGCUGCCUGUGCUCCUGAGUAUCCUAGGCAUCGUCUGCCUCGUGGUGACCAUCAUGUACUGGAGCGGCUGGGAGAUGGGUGCUGUGGAGGCUAUCUCCCUGUCCAUCCUGGUUGGCUCCUCUGUGGAUUACUGUGUCCAUCUGGUAGAAGGCUACUUGCUGGCUGGGGAGAACCUACCCCCACAGCAGGCUGAGGAUCCCAGCUCUCAGCGCCAGUGGAGGACCCUCGAGGCUGUCCGGCAUGUAGGCGUGGCCAUCGUGUCCAGUGCGCUCACCACCGUCAUUGCCACCGUCCCACUCUUCUUCUGCAUCAUCGCCCCGUUCGCCAAGUUCGGGAAGAUCGUGGCACUCAACACAGGCGUGUCCAUCCUCUACACUCUCACCGUCAGCACCGCCCUGCUGGGCAUCAUGGCUCCCGGUUCCUUCACCCGGACCAGGACUUCCUUUCUUAAGGCCCUGGGUGCUGUGCUGCUGGCAGGAGCCCUAGGACUGGGUGCCUGUCUUGUGCUCCUGCGCAGUGGCUACAAGAUCCCCCUGCCCAGCGGGGCCACGCUAUAGCCCUAUGCUUGCGUCCAGACUCACGCAACUUGCCUUGCAGCGGGGGAUGAGACAUCUGAGACCCAGAGCUGUGGGGCCACACCACCUUCAGCACAGCUCAGACUGGAAGUAAAGUCAGAUACCCCUAUACUAUCUGGGCCCCUUCACUGAAGUUUGCCUGGCCCCUCCUCCUAUACCUGGUCACCACCAAGCAGGUGGCUUCCUACCGGGGUCUCCUCUCACUGCUUCAGUGUUCGUGACUUGCUUGGGUGGGCAUUUCAGGACCAACUAUUCUACAGAUGUGGAAACUAAAGCACCAGGAGGCAGGGACUGCACUGUGCUGGAUCAGGGCAGAGCCAGAGUUGUCUCAAAGCACAGGUCUCCCUGGGCCUUUGGCAGGAAGAGCACAGCAAAUCCAGGAUAAGGGGCCCACCCACCCCCCAGCUCUAUGCAGCCAGUGCUUGGUCACCCUGCUGUGGGCCAAGCCAGCAGAGACAGAGGCACUUCUCGGGAUCAUGCAUGUCCUAGCCCAAGCCCCAGCCUUCGGGGCACCUCAAAAUCCCUCCCUGGAGUUGUGGCUCUACUAUCCCUACAGAUCCAAACCUCGGCACCCCCACUUGACUGAGAGUGAAUGACUGGUGUGUGGCGGGGUGCUGCACAAAUGGGGAGAAGCUGGCUAUGCCUGCCGCCUGCUCGUGGCAGAUGGUCCCUAUUAAAGAGACGAAACUGCAGACCGCUGCUAUUAACACAAGCAUUUUCAGCCUCGCUGGCUCCAUCAUGUCCUUAAAAUUGAAAUAACUAAGUGUUCACAUGCAGCCUGACACAGAGGGUGACACCAGACCUGGGUAGAAGGUGUCCAGUACAGAGAUGGGAGCACUUGGGCUCAGUGUGAGGCCAGGGCCUCCUAGUGGGAAGUGGGUGGACCCAGGAGAUGUUUGUGCCUUUAUGGGGUCCAUCCGGACCCACAGUUGAGCAUUUUUAAAAGCUUGGCAUUGUGACAGCCAUCAGACUUCUUCCUGGGCGUAGACGUUGUGCUUUUUGGGUCUUAGAAAGCUGGACAUAGACCGAACAGGACAGUUCGGGGAUCAGGCUACAUCCCUGAGGGUGAGAAAGGACUCCAGGGUGGUCUACACACCAGCUCACAUGGUCACCAGUAGAUGUGCAAGGGGAGGCUGGGUGCAAGACUGAGACCACUGUAUCCUUGCCUAGUUGUGCUGGCGUGGCGUGGUGCCCAGUGUUUGUUGAGGAAAUCUCAAACCUUUAGACCCACCAUCCACAGUGAAGAAAUGAAGCGAUCAAGCGGGUACUGGCUGGCAUGUGACACAACAGACGCUCUUCUUGGAGUUGGUAUUCAUUCCCUGAGGCACCAUGAUGGCACCACAGAUGUCUGCAGCAGAAGACCCUCAUCUCUGACGGCAGGGCUGUUCCCUCCGGGAACCCAAAGAAGGGAUCUGAUCCAGGCCCGCUGGCUGCUGGGCAUCUGCUGGUCUCCGUGUGUCUGUCAUUUCAUGUCCACAUUCCUCUAAGAGGGACAUCUGUCAUACUGGAGUUGGCCCCACCCUAAUGACUUCAUCUUAACCUGGUUGGCUAUAGAGACUCCGUCCCACCCCAUAAGCUCCUGUCCCUGGGGACUAGGCAUUAGGAUCCCAGCAUACUUGGGAGGCAGGGUCAUUACACACACAGGAGUCAGCUCAGUUUGAGACAGGGUUUCUCUGUGUAGCCUUGGCUGUCCUGGAACCUGCUCUAUAGAGCAGGCUGACCUCAAACUCAGAGGUCCAUCUGCCUCUGUGCUGGGAUUAAAGGCAAGCGUCACUGUGCCUGGCAGGAAUAAGUUCUUUUUCUAAUCAUCAGGUGUAGAUGCAUGCAAGGGAGCCGAGGCCUGAGCAAUGGUUUUUCCUGGACCCUGAGCCUGACCUGGAGCCCAGGUGUGUUCUAAAAGCACAUCCCCAACCGCCAGAAAAGCCUUUCACAAAGGCAGACAGUGUUGCUAGAGAGUUUGGAGGCUGUAGUCAGACCAAGGGGCCUACUCUGGAACUCUUGAAGCAAGUUCUUCAGUCCUCACUUAGUAACGCUGGAGCCCUGGGAGGCUUGUCACUGAGGGGAAGGUCUCAGGAAGCAGGCUGGCUCCGACCCAGGGCCUCAGGAUCCCCUUGUGUACAGGGUCCAUGAAACUGACCACAACGUGGAGUGUUGAGAGGUUAAGAGAGUUGGGGGGAGGGGCCUGUCAGAUUGACAGCAUAUUUCAGGAUGGAUGUCGGCAAGCUCUUGUUCUGAGAUCUUCCCAGUAACUCGGUUUAAUUUGGAGCUGGGUCGUUUGCAUGCUGUCCACAUGAUGCUUGGCUCAGGGAGAUCUCUGCCUGGCCCAGUUAAGGGCAGACCUCUACCUUUGCAGAGAGCUGUGUAGGUGUAGGAGGGCGGAGGAUGGAGGAGACAGACUCAGGCUCAGUAGCUUCUGCGCGACUCUGUGACCCGUGGGACUACCGUCAGUUUACAGAUGAUGAGUCUGGUUAUCAGAGAGGGCAAGUGAAUGUGCAGCCUGGCCUCUGGCCAUGCUCACUGUCUCUCUCCUACAAAGAUGGCAUUCUGAACACCCAAAUUGUCUCUUCUCAGCCCCACUUCCCUGGCUGCCUUCCUUCCUGGAAGCGCUGUGUGGUGGCUGAUAGACUUAGUUCCCACCUGGGCCUCCCUGGGGCAGGGACAGGCCUGGGAAAAGGAGGUGGUGACAGUUUGGGUGCCCUAGGGAACUUGGGCCACACAGCUGUCUGCCUCUUUAAUCCCCUUCAUCUUCCUCGUAACUGUUGGCACCACCGGGUCCCAGAGGCACCAACUCCCGUGAAUAGAAGCUUGACCUUCCUUUGACAACGAUGUGGGCUGCAGUCUUAAUGAGCUUCACUGAGCUUAAUGAGAUCUCUGUUCACUUGAGCUCCGCAUCCCAGGAUGUACAGGCGUCGACAUGCCAAGGUGACAGUCCUGUGUGGAGGAGGAGCCAAGGGCGUGAGUGGGAUCUGAGUGAAUGAAAACCCUUCACCAACCAAGCAUCCCAUGGCCCCCGCUUCUCCACUGAGACCAGAUGUCAAUGGCAGCUGCUUUUAGGGGGUACCUAUUCUGCUUUUAAGGGGUGCCCCCUGCCCCUUUGAAAAUGCCCAGUGUGCCUCAAGAAAGUGUCUUUGUUGUGUUCCAUUAAGGAAGCUGCAGUCAGAAGCUGUUUCUAUCCCCUCUAGCUGACCAUAGCUAUGAGAUGGACAGAACUAUGCCCACCUCCACAUCUGCCAAAAGAUGCUGUGUUCUGUCCUGGGGAGAGUGGGGGUGCAGAGCAUGCUUUUCCAAAUAGAGGCCACUUUCUAUCUGGUUGGUAGAUUUAAAAGUUUUGAGGUGAGGCUGUGGGAAAGCAGGCUUUUGGGUUUCGCCUGUGUAAUCUGUUCAGCCAUGCAGAACAGUUUGUCAGUAGCAGAAUUAUAGCCACGCCUCCCUUUGGAUUCAGCACCCCUGUCCUGCAAAUUGAAGGGUAAACUUAACCCUGUCAGAGUGCAGAAGGUGUGCAUUGAAGACCAGCCUGGCUUAUCCAUGAACCAGAGACCCACACAUCCAACAGCAUCAGCACAGGGACGGGAAAGUGAGCUAUGUAGGUCUGUGCUCUGUGGCUGAAAAUGAACAAGGGUGCUUCCUCCGUUGGGGGAUGGAAAAACUGCCAACGAAGAUUAAGUGAGAGAGAGAGAGAGAGAGAGAGAGAGAGAGAGAGAGAGAGAGAGAAUGUAAAACUAUGCAGCUUAUGUGUUUGAAAACGACCCAAGCAGGGGCGAACGUGUGCACAUUUUUGUUUGCAUGUGCAUUAAAUAAUCCUGGAGAAGAAUACAAGGAGAAACUGCAACAGUGGUUACCUGUGUGUGCAAGGAGGGGGAUGCUACUAGGAGGCAGAAACCUCACCAUAAAUCUCUGUGUGCUCAGGUGUUCCAACUGCAGGAAUCGAUUGCAGAGAUGAUUUUCUUGUAAAGAGAGGGGUGGCUGACACUGGCUUCUUGGGAAACUCACUCCAGCUUCAGGAGGAAGGAGAGGAGUCUCCCCGAAAGGCCCUAACACAAGCUGACAUUUGUUACAUCUGAUACCCUUCCAGGAGCUGCUAGUGGCAAUGUCUGGUACCCUGCCACCUUCUCCAAGCAAGGUCAGGGCUGGAGCUAGAGAGGCUGAAGUGGUCAAAGAUGGUGGCCUGAUGCAGUCCCUGGCCCAGGUGUAGACAAGUGGGCAAGGAGAUGCUCAGAUCGGGCAGCCCUGGGUAGCAGGUCAGCUGGGCUCAUUGCCCCCUGAAUGUUCUCACAGUGUCACCCUCAUCCUGCCUCUGCUGGCCUUGUGUCCAAGCAAGUCACACAUUCUGUCUUUACAUGCUUGCUCAUCCGUUAAAUAGAAUAAUACCCACUGAGCGUGGCCUUUGUGUUUCAAUAAGAUGAUGUUUGCCCAAGCGGUAGCCACGGUAAUACCUGUCAUGCCAUCCUCCCUGCCGUCCCUCUUAUCAGACAGGUCUCUCCCAACCCUGGGUAGAUGGAUGUGCUUAGCAUUCCAAAGCUCUUCGGUAAGCAGGAGCUACCCUCCCCGGUCCCUCUGACUGGGGUGGAAUAUGCUUCCUUGUCCUAUGGACAAUAAAAUAAGCCUGCCUGUGGGACCCAUGCUACUCAAUGGGAUAUAGCAAGCAGGGAACAGUAAAGUCUUGAAAUACUGCUGUGCUCUGUGUUUUGUCUUUCUGAGUUAAAGGGCAUGGUCCCCAACCUUACUGGCUCCAGGAAGCUGAGAUGCCAAGCCAUGAUCAAGCAGAGAUCAGACUCCCUGCCAACAAUAAAUGAUUAAUAUUAGAA